CUGGUGGUGAAACACCAAGGAUUAGCUUAAAUUUGUUGGGUUUUUUCUGUCUCAUGUAUGUAGUAAUUUGCCCAGGGAAGGCAUUCCUCAAAAUGAGUGAUUUCAAUACUUGAACUACAGGUUCCAUGUACGUGUAGAUAAUGAAAAUACUCUUGUGUGAUUGGGUGAGAUAAUUUGAGCAAUAUAUGGUAUGAAAAGUGAAUCUCUGAACAGUUUUUCAUGGUGCAAACCAUAGGCAGCAAGAGUGAAAUGAGUCAUCCACGUCUUUUAUUGCUAAUAGCAACACUUAGCAAUGCUAAUCAGCUAUACUGAGUUUCUGUUUUCAUUUUCCUAAUAAUUAAGUAAAAGAUCUGGCAUGCAAUCAAGUUUUGCUCUAGGGAGUUCAUGCAAAAUUAAUUUUUUAAUUGUACAUUCUGAUAAAUAUAUCCUGCAAAAGGGAAGUUGCUGAAGUUGAGAAGAAAAGAAAAGAAAAGGAAAUACCAUUUACAGUGUGCUUCACCAGAAUCAGGCAGUGAUAUAGAAGGACAGCUGUUGCCUCAGGACAGAAAUCAACCAGAAAUGGACACCAGUGAAGAUUUGAGAAAGAAAAUCCAAGAGCUUGAGAAAAAAACCUUGGACUUAACCAAUCAACACAGUCAGUGAUAUGUCUCACUAUGAAAAAGAUUUAACAAAAUUAAGGUUGGAACUCGAGAGAGGAGAGGCUCUCCAUCAGGUUCUGGAAAAUGAAAUGUUCUUGGCUAGAAAAGAGGCUGAGGUGCAGAUGUAUUCUACACAAGAAGAGCUCUGUGAUACAAAAGCCAAGCUUUUGGAACUGCAAGCACGCGGGAGAGGACAAAUGCUGGCAGUGCACCACAGAACCUGCACUGGCUCUGGAACCCACCCACCCUCUGAAUCUUUGUGUGUUCACUUUGGACCUGAAGCAGCUGGUUCACCUCCCCUACCUGCUCCUGCUUCUCCAUGUGAUGAUGUUUGUCAGUCGCGAGUCUCAACUCCAGCAGCCAGAGCAUCUCCUACUCCUUCUCCUGCUCCUGAUGGUAAGUCUCAUUUCAAGCAAAUAUGGUCCCUUGGAUGUGGAUGCAGAAGGAGUUUCUCCAUACUGCAAAGCUCAUAUACGCAAAUUCAAUGAUAUUUAAUUGUAAACAUAAUGGAGCAAUAAAAUUAAUGCAAACAGAAGCCUUCGAAGACAUUUGUCAGAAGAGAGAGGGGGUGGUGAAUGCGAGCACAAGGAAUAAAAUUACUCCUGGAAUGAGGUUUUUUUCUAUUGGUCU
rnacentral:lncRNA from 1 species